GGAAGGGUACAGUUCAAGUGGUAGAGCGCAUGCUUAGCAUGCAUGAGGUCUUGGGUUCAAUCCCCAGUACCUCCU
rfam:Camelus ferus unplaced genomic scaffold scaffold954, whole genome shotgun sequence.